CAUGUCUUUUUGAUAAUAAUUUAAAGUCUGACCUGCCCUAUGAAUAAAUUUAAAUGGCUGCGGUAUUUUGACCGUACAAAGGUAGCAUAAUAAUUAGUUUUUUAAUUGGGAACUGGUAUGAAUGGUCGAACGAGAAAAAAACUGUCUCAAUUUAAUUUAAAUUAGAAUUUUAUUUUUAAGUUAAAAAGCUUAAAUGAUUUUAAAAGACGAGAAGACCCUAUAGAGUUUUAUAUAAUAUAAAUUAUUUAAAAAUUUAAGUAUUUAAAAUUUAUUUAAUUUAUAUUAUAUUUGGUUGGGGUGAUUAAAAAAUUUAAUAAACUUUUUUUAUAAUUUAAACAUUGAUAUAUGAUUAAAUGAUCCAUAAUUUAUGAUUAGAAGAUUAAAUUACCUUAGGGAUAACAGCGUAAUUUUUUUUUAGAGUUCUUAUCGAAAAAAAAGUUUGCGACC
rnacentral:rRNA from 1 species